UCCGGCUCUACGCCGGCAGUCUCCUUAGAGUCCCCGCCAUUACGCGCUGGCAACAUGGAACGAGGGUUGCGCUCGUUGCGGGACUUAACCCAACAUCUCACGACACGAGCUGACGACAACCAUGCACCACCUGUGAACCGGCCCCAAAGGGGAAACCACAUCUCUGCGGCGAUCCGGCCCAUGUCAAGCCUUGGUAAGAUUCUUCGCGUUGCAUCGAAUUAAUCCGCAUGCUCCGCCGCUUGUGCGGGCCCCCGUCAAUUCCUUUGAGUUUUAGCCUUGCGGCCGUACUCCCCAGGCGGGGCACUUAAUGCGUUAGCUACGGCGCGGAAAACGUGGAAUGUCCCCCACGCCUAGUGCCCAACGUUUACGGCUGGGACUAC
rnacentral:misc_RNA from 1 species